AGAAAACAGUUUUAAAUGGGCAUACAAGUUAAAGGGAUAGAUGCUUUAGCAAUGAAAAUGAACAAAAUGAUUUAACACUUUGAAGAAUCACAUUCUGAUCUCAUUCUUAUACAUGCCAACAGUAAAUUGAGAUGCAUUCUGUUUAUGACUGAUUUGUUCACAAAGAACACUAGAGCCUUGAAAGAAAUUGUGGUUUUUGGUUUGUUUCUUUGCAGCUGAACCAGAGGGGAUGAACACAAGGAACAGAAAGACAGUUCAGAAUUCAGAAAAUGUGAUCAACACUCUUAGAUGAGGGUAGGUGGACCCAUGGCCAGGGCAGAAAGUUGGAAUAGAGGACCAUUGAGAUCAGUGCAUUUGCAAGAGCAGAGAGCAGAGACAUGAGGUGAAAUGGGAAGUCCUGACAAAAGCAAUUGACAAAGGCACAGUUUAUAAUAAAUGAGAAUCUUGGAAUUCUAUUGCCAAAUUACGCAGACCUUUCCAGAAAGAGUAAGUCAAAGCAGAUCGGAUAACUGGCUCAUAAUUAACAGUGACCAAGAGCAGCAUUGCUCCAGUCCUGC
ensembl:lncRNA